UACGAAGGGGGCUAGCGUUGCUCGGAAUCACUGGGCGUAAAGCGCACGUAGGCGGAUCUUUAAGUCGGUGGUGAAAUCCUGGAGCUCAACUCCAGAACUGCCUUCGAUACUGAGAGUCUCGAGUCCGGGAGAGGUGAGUGGAACUGCGAGUGUAGAGGUGAAAUUCGUAGAUAUUCGCAAGAACACCAGUGGCGAAGGCGGCUCACUGGCCCGGUACUGACGCUGAGGCACGAAAGCGUGGGGAGCAAACAGGG
rnacentral:rRNA from 1 species